rnacentral:rRNA from 1 species
GACGAACGCUGGCGGCGUGCUUAACACAUGCAAGUCGAACGGAAAGGCCCUGCUUUUGUGGGGUGCUCGAGUGGCGAACGGGUGAGUAACACGUGAGUAACCUGCCCUUGACUUUGGGAUAACUUAAGGAAACUGGGGCUAAUACCGGAUAGGAGCUCCUGCUGCAUGGUGGGGGUUGGAAAGUUUCGGCGGUUGGGGAUGGACUCGCGGCUUAUCAGCUUGUUGGUGGGGUAGUGGCUUACCAAGGCCUUGACGGGUAGCCGGCCUGAGAGGGUGACCGGCCACAUUAGGACUGAGAUACGGCCCAGACUCGUACGGGAGGCAGCAGUGGGGAGUAUUGCACAAUGGGCGGGAGCCUGAUGCAGCAACGCCGCGUGCGGGAUGACGGCCUUCGGGUUGUAAACCGCUUUCGCCUGUGACGAAGCGUGAGUGACGGUAAUGUGUAAAGAAGCACCGGCUAACUACGUG